rnacentral:tRNA from 1 species
AGCGGGAUGGUGGAACGGAUUUACCAUGUGAGUUUCAUAUGCUCAAGAUUGCCAGUUCGACUCUGGUUCCCGCUUCCA